CAGGAGCUUCACUGAGCAUGGAGUCCUUGGUGCUGCUCCUCUGCCUGGUGGCAGCUCCCUGCUGUGUCCUAUCCCAGGUGCAGCUCCAGGAGUCAGGACCUGGCCUGGUGAAGCCUUCAGAGACCCUGUCCCUUAUCUGCACAGUCUCUGGAUUCUCUCUAACUAGUUAUAAUGUACACUGGGUUCGUCAGGCUCCAGGGAAGGGACUGGAGUGGAUUGGUGUGAUAUGGAGUGGUGGAAGCACAAAUUAUAACUCAGCCCUUCAGUCUCGAGUGAGCAUCAGCAGGGACACUUCCAAGAGCCAAGUUUCACUAACGUUGAGCAGCCUGAGAUCUGAGGACACAGCCGUGUAUUACUGUGCAAGAGACACAGUGAGGGAAAAUCAGUGUGAGCCCAGACAGAAAACUCCCUACAGGGGUGCCCAGGACAACAGGGGGCAGGCAGAACACAUGGAGCUCUUGUCAGGCCCAGGACCAGGUGCAGGUUCCUGGGGCUGCUUUGCUGUUACAGUUUGUGGUUUUCUCUUUCUGUCCCCAACUUUGCAAAAGACUCUCUAG